AUGAACGCUGGCGGCGUGCCUAAUACAUGCACGUCGAGCGAACGGACGAGAAGCUUGCUUCUCUGAUGUUAGCGGCGGACGGGUGAGUAACACGUGGAUAACCUACCUAUAAGACUGGGAUAACUUCGGGAAACCGGAGCUAAUACCGGAUAAUAUUUUGAACCGCAUGGUUCAAAAGUGAAAGACGGUCUUGCUGUCACUUAUAGAUGGAUCCGCGCUGCAUUAGCUAGUUGGUAAGGUAACGGCUUACCAAGGCAACGAUGCAUAGCCGACCUGAGAGGGUGAUCGGCCACACUGGAACUGAGACACGGUCCAGACUCCUACGGGAGGCAGCAGUAGGGAAUCUUCCGCAAUGGGCGAAAGCCUGACGGAGCAACGCCGCGUGAGUGAUGAAGGUCUUCGGAUCGUAAAACUCUGCUAUUAGGGAAGAACAUAUGUGUAAGUAACUGUGCACAUCUUGACGGUACCUAAUCAGAAAGCCACGGCUAACUACGUG
rnacentral:rRNA from 1 species